AACGCAUAUUGCGCCCCUUGGUAUUCCUUGGGGCACACCUGUUCGAGCGUCAUUUCACCAAUCAAGCCUCGCUUGGUUUUGGGCAAUGCGCAAGCCGCAUGCCUCAAAUGCUCCGGCCGUGCAGUCUCUCCCCCGGCGUCGUGGUAACAUACCGCUAUGGGGACGCGACCUGCGUGCGCCGCAAGACCUUCUAUCUAAGGUUGACCUCGGAUCAGGUGGGGAUACCCGCUGAACUUAA
rnacentral:misc_RNA from 1 species